GAGAGUUUGAUUCUGGCUCAGGACGAACGCUGGCGGCGUGCCUAACACAUGCAAGUCGAGCGAGGAGAUUCCCUUCGGGGAUGAACCUAGCGGCGGACGGGUGAGUAACACGUGGGCAACCUGCCUUAUAGAGGGGAAUAGCCUUCCGAAAGGAAGAUUAAUACCGCAUAACAUUACAUUUUCGCAUGAAGAAGUAAUUAAAGGAGUAAUCCGCUAUAAGAUGGGCCCGCGGCGCAUUAGCUAGUUGGUGAGGUAACGGCUCACCAAGGCGACGAUGCGUAGCCGACCUGAGAGGGUGAUCGGCCACAUUGGGACUGAGACACGGCCCAGACUCCUACGGGAGGCAGCAGUGGGGAAUAUUGCACAAUGGGGGAAACCCUGAUGCAGCAACGCCGCGUGAGUGAUGAAGGUCUUCGGAUCGUAAAGCUCUGUCUUCAGGGACGAUAAUGACGGUACCUGAGGAGGAAGCCACGGCUAACUA
rnacentral:rRNA from 2 species